GAGAAAAAAAUGUCCCAAGGUAUGUGAGGGAAUGAAUAGAAAAUAUUCCUUUGGAUGAAAAUGUACACAGCACAGAAAAAUACCUCCAAGGUUUCUACAGAGAAGAGUGAAUAGCCCUUAGGUUGUUCAGAGAGCCCCAAGAUGAGCAAUUGCUCAAAAAAAUUGGACAGCACUAUUUUUUCAAGUUUCAAUCAAGUAAAUCUAAAGAAGCAGAUCUUUUAGAAAGUUAAAACUUAAAAAGUAAAGUUAUUUUUCUUUUCAAAUAAAAUCUACAGGCUCUGCCUGUGCUGUUGCCAUGGAUUUUUCCUGCAUGAUAAUUCCACGUAUUCUGCAUGUGAUUCCAAAAGAAAAAUGGUCAGUUGCACGAGGAGGUUAGGGUGCGCAGAAGACUUAACUGAGGAUGCGUACAUAGGAGUGGUGUCCUCCCUGUAGCCGGUGGCCCAGAAUGACACCUGUCACCAUCUGAGGCCGGUUUGUGUACUGCUCAAUCAUGGGGCAUUUUUUUCCCAUGUGAUUUGCACUGAGUCCGGUUCUUUGCGUUUCUCAUCAGAUGCAAAGAGCCCUCGUGUGCUGUGUGCAAGGACGCAAGAGCUGCAGAGCUGUCAGGGGACACCAGGGACUUGAGGAUGUAAGUUUUCCAAUGAAAACUUUGGUAGAACCUCUGAAGGUGGCAAAACCAGAAAAUCAGUCUGAUGAAGUGGAGCUUCAUCAGAAGCUUAGGAUCCUUCACUUGGCAAAGAAGGCACACAGACUUAAGGGUGGGACAGGUGGUGAUAUAGCUGUUAAGGACACGUUUGAAUUUCAAAAUCAUGUGUCCUCCUCCUCCAAACCACUCAGCAAAUUCUGGAAGAGUAACUUAAGCUCACCUUAAGCUUAGGUUAAUACUGCUAUGUCUCUUGGUUAAGACUGCUUCAAAAGAAGGCACCAUAAGCAGAACUAAACCAUGAGGAAAAUCAGAAAUCUUAGCCCUUUCUAAAAAAGCCCAUAAAUAUGAAAAACAGAUUCAGAUAAAUUCUGUAGCAACUCUUCGGCUUUGAAAAACGUCUUUGAUCUUUGACUUGUGAAGAAUUACAGAUUGAAUUUAUUUCUGGAAAAGAUGGAUGAUCCAAAGUGGUCAAAGAUUGAUCUAAAGAGUUUGGGGAAGACAACGCUGAUGUCCUCAGAGGCACUCACUUGCCAGCUAUCUAGUGGCUGUAGUGACUUGCUCGGCAUACUCUGUAUGAUAAAAGGCCCACCACCAUCUGUAAGGAGCUUCUGACCACUGGAGAGACUGUAGGCUUCUCAGAAUCAAGCAGGAGUUGCAGUUUUCAAAGCACACAAGGACUUGCUAGCUGAAUUUCUACACUAGGAACUCUCUAUUGAAGAGUUAAUGAAAGUGGUCCAUGUCCAAUAAAACAACUUAAAAAUCAAGCACAUCUAAAGCUCUGUGAAAUGAAAACUAUGUUCAAAAAACUAUUUCUAUUGUGAGUGGGUAGAAGAGGUUUCAUUUCUCCUCUCCAAAGCAGCCUCUGGACACUGUGAUAUAUUCAAAACAGGAUUCAGUUCGAACAUGGACACCCUGUGUUUGAGAAUCAAUUAUCAGCUGAUUGAGAACAGCUGUCAUUAGCAAAUGCUUUAUGGAAGACAUCAGGAUUGAGUGUGACCUCAAGAACUGGUCCAGGUCUUCCUGGACUGUCAGGACCAACAGUAGCCAUGAGUGAGAGAGACACAGGGGGAGCGACAGGAAGAACGACUCAGAAGGACACUAAUGACAUCGAAUUACUGAAUAAAUUGAUCCUGGUACUGUUUUAUCUUGGCACACUCCUUCUAUGCAAAAGAGAAGUGCUCCUUGUAAACGUGUUGCAGGUAACGUAAUAUAUUGGGCUCAGAAAUA